rnacentral:rRNA from 1 species
GCGAACGGGUGAGUAACACGUGAGCAAUGUGCCCUUGACUCUGGAAUAAGCGCUGGAAACGGCGUCUAAUACCGGAUACGACCAUCGGAGGCAUCUCCUGUUGGUGGAAAGAACUUCGGUUGAGGAUCAGCUCACGGCCUAUCAGCUAGUUGGUGAGGUAACGGCUCACCAAGGCGACGACGGGUAGCCGGCCUGAGAGGGUGACCGGCCACACUGGGACUGAGACACGGCCCAGACUCCUACGGGAGGCAGCAGUGGGGAAUAUUGCACAAUGGGCGCAAGCCUGAUGCAGCAACGCCGCGUGAGGGACGACGGCCUUCGGGUUGUAAACCUCUUUUAGCAGGGAAGAAGCGAAAGUGACGGUACCUGCAGAAAAAGCACCGGCUAACUACGUGCCAGCAGCCGCGGUAAUACGUAGGGUGCAAGCGUUGUCCGGAAUUAUUGGGCGUAAAGAGCUCGUAGGCGGUUUGUCACGUCUGCUGUGAAAUCCCGAGGCUCAACCUCGGGCUUGCAGUGGGUACGGGCAGACUAGAGUGCGGUAGGGGAGAUUGGAAUUCCUGGUGUAGCGGUGGAAUGCGCAGAUAUCAGGAGGAACACCGAUGGCGAAGGCAGAUCUCUGGGCCGUAACUGACGCUGAGGAGCGAAAGCAUGGGGAGCAAACAGGCUUAGAUACCCUGGUAGUC